AAAACGACUCUCGGCAACGGAUAUCUCGGCUCUCGCAUCGAUGAAGAACGUAGCGAAAUGCGAUACUUGGUGUGAAUUGCAGAAUCCCGUGAACCAUCGAGUCUUUGAACGCAAGUUGCGCCCGAAGCCUUCCGGCCGAGGGCACGUCUGCCUGGGCGUCACG
rnacentral:rRNA from 2 species